CAAGUCGAGCGGUAGAGAGAAGCUUGCUUCUCUUGAGAGCGGCGGACGGGUGAGUAAUGCCUAGGAAUCUGCCUGGUAGUGGGGGAUAACGUUCGGAAACGGACGCUAAUACCGCAUACGUCCUACGGGAGAAAGCAGGGGACCUUCGGGCCUUGCGCUAUCAGAUGAGCCUAGGUCGGAUUAGCUAGUUGGUGGGGUAAUGGCUCACCAAGGCGACGAUCCGUAACUGGUCUGAGAGGAUGAUCAGUCACACUGGAACUGAGACACGGUCCAGACUCCUACGGGAGGCAGCAGUGGGGAAUAUUGGACAAUGGGCGAAAGCCUGAUCCAGCCAUGCCGCGUGUGUGAAGAAGGUCUUCGGAUUGUAAAGCACUUUAAGUUGGGAGGAAGGGUUGUAGAUUAAUACUCUGCAAUUUUGACGUUACCGACAGAAUAAGCACCGGCUAACUCUGUGCCAGCAGCCGCGGUAAUACAGAGGGUGCAAGCGUUAAUCGGAAUUACUGGGCGUAAAGCGCGCGUAGGUGGUUUGUUAAGUUGGAUGUGAAAUCCCCGGGCUCAACCUGGGAACUGCAUUCAAAACUGACUGACUAGAGUAUGGUAGAGGGUGGUGGAAUUUCCUGUGUAGCGGUGAAAUGCGUAGAUAUAGGAAGGAACACCAGUGGCGAAGGCGACCACCUGGACUAAUACUGACACUGAGGUGCGAAAGCGUGGGGAGCAAACAGGAUUAGAUACCCUGGUAGUCCACGCCGUAAACGAUGUC
rnacentral:rRNA from 1 species